rnacentral:rRNA from 1 species
AGUGGGGAAUAUUGCACAAUGGAGGAAACUCUGAUGCAGCAACGCCGCGUGGAGGAUGACACAUUUCGGUGCGUAAACUCCUUUUAUAUAAGAAGAUAAUGACGGUAUUAUAUGAAUAAGCACCGGCUAACUCCGUGCCAGCAGCCGCGGUAAUACGGGGGGUGCAAGCGUUACUCGGAAUCACUGGGCGUAAAGAGAAUGUAGGCUGGUUAUUAAGUUGGAAGUGAAAUCCUAUGGCUCAACCAUAGAACUGCUUCCAAAACUGAUUACCUAGAAUAUGGGAGAGGUAGAUGGAAUUUCUGGUGUAGGGGUAAAAUCCGUAGAGAUCAGAAGGAAUACCGAUUGCGAAGGCGAUCUACUGGAACAUUAUUGACGCUGAGAUUCGAAAGCGUGGGGAGCAAACAGGAUUAGAUACCCUGGUAGUCCACGCCCUAAACGAUGCACACUAGUUGUUGCUAUGCUAGACAUAGCAGUAAUGCAGUUAACACAGUAAGUGUGCCGCCUGGGGAGUACGGUCGCAAGAUUAAAACUCAAAGGAAUAGACGGGGACCCGCACAAGCGGUGGAGCAUGUGGUUUAAUUCGACGAUACGCGAAGAACCUUACCUGGCCUUGACAUAGAAAGAACUUUCCAGAGACGGAUUGGUGCUAGUUUACUAGAGCUUUUAUACAGGUGCUGCACGGCUGUCGUCAGCUCGUGUCGUGAGAUGUUGGGUUAAGUCCCGCAACGAGCGCAACCCUCGUGUUUAGUUACUAACAGUUCGGCUGAGGACUCUAAACAGACUGCCUGGGCAACCAGGAGGAAGGUGAGGACGACGUCAAGUCAUCAUGGCCCUUACGGCCAGGGCUACACACGUGCUACAAUGGGGUAUACAAAGAGCCGCAAUACCGUGAGGUGGAGCAAAUCUCAUAAAAUAUCUCCCAGUUCGGAUUGAAGUCUGCAACUCGACUUCAUGAAGUUGGAAUCGCUAGUAAUCGUGAAUCAGCAAUGUCACGGUGAAUACGU